GAUGAACGCUGGCGGCGUGCCUAAUACAUGCAAGUCGAGCGAACGGACGAGAAGCUUGCUUCUCUGAUGUUAGCGGCGGACGGGUGAGUAACACGUGGAUAACCUACCUAUAAGACUGGGAUAACUUCGGGAAACCGGAGCUAAUACCGGAUAAUAUUUUGAACCGCAUGGUUCAAAAGUGAAAGACGGUCUUGCUGUCACUUAUAGAUGGAUCCGCGCUGCAUUAGCUAGUUGGUAAGGUAACGGCUUACCAAGGCAACGAUGCAUAGCCGACCUGAGAGGGUGAGCGGCCACACUGGAACUGAGACCCGGUCCAGACUCCUACGGGAGGCAGCAGUAGGGAAUCUGCCGCAAUGGGCGAAAGCCUGACGGAGCAACGCCGCGUGAGUGAUGAAGGUCUUCGGAUCGUAAAACUCUGUUAUUAGGGAAGAACAUAUGUGUAAGUAACUGUGCACAUCUUGACGGUACCUAAUCAGAAAGCCACGGCUAACUACG
rnacentral:rRNA from 1 species